rnacentral:misc_RNA from 1 species
CGUUGCUCCGGCCCCGUAGAUUUCUCUGGUUCUCUGCUUCUCUCUUCGCCUAUCUUUCUGACUCUUUGUUCUUAGUUUCUUUGUGACAUAAAGUUUCUUUGCUUUCUUAAUCUUUUCAUUUUUCUUGACCUUCUUCUUCUUCUUCUUCUUUGUGGGAAUAGUGAUGGGUUUUGAGAAAAAGAUUCCUUUUUGCUCUGUAUUAAAUUCAGUUUUAAUUUGUAUUAUUGUUAACCAUAAAAUAUUUAUUUACCAGAAACUUUGAAUUACUGUCUUAUUUUGCUAUAAAGCUGCUUCAAAUUCCAGUUCUGUUGGCGUGUUGGUGAUUGGACUUGGGGUUAAUGCACUUCUUAUAUUUAUAUCUAAUUCUGUUGUUUUUUCUCUCUCAUUUUUUAAAAUUUUCAUAUGAUUCAAGAUCUUAAUACGUUUUUCCAUUUUAAUUUUUCAUAUUGGAUUCGUCUCUGUUUUUGAGUAUAAUUUGAAGUUUUGAUCUGUUAUUAUAGUGGUAAAAUGUCAAUUAGGCAGGAUUAUCUUUGCCUCUAAUUGGGCUAGUGUAUUGUUAAGCGAGCACAUCGGCUUCUUAAUAUUGUAGAUCAUUUGGGUAUGCGGCUUCUUUUGUACAUGAUCUGUAUUCAGGUUCUUAUGUUCACUCUGAAUGCUAUCUUUGUGAUGGCUUCUGUCCUAAGGGAAUGGAGUUGACUGUUUGUAAUUUUUGAGAAGUGUGAUGAAAAAUUUAGCUUUUUGUGUGAGAAAUUACGCUUGUAAUGUUCAAUAUGAAGCCUGAUGGGAACAGUUCAUUUAAAAUUCCGAUUGUUUUAAUUUUCUUGUCUGCGAAACAAGCUCAAAAAUUAUCGAAAAGAUUGAUCUGGAGACGUAAACGUUAUCAGAUCCCAAAAAAUGGAGACAAAUUUCUGUUCAUAAAGAUUGACGUGGGAAAUGGCCGAAAAUUUUCAUGUCUGUUAAAAUUGUGUUGCAGUUAUCUGGAACUUAUGCUUUGAUAUGCAUGUCAGGAAGAGCAUUUGAAAGUUUGCAGAGCUGUGAAGGAACUUCAAUCUAUAU